rnacentral:rRNA from 1 species
ACACAUGCAGUCGAGCGGGGGAGAUUGCUUCGGUAAUUGACCUAGCGGCGGACGGGUGAGUAAUACUUAGGAAUCUGCCUAUUAAUGGGGGACAACAUCUCGAAAGGGAUGCUAAUACCGCAUACGCCCUACGGGGGAAAGCAGGGGAUCACUUGUGACCUUGCGUUAAUAGAUGAGCCUAAGUCGGAUUAGCUAGUUGGUGGGGUAAAGGCCUACCAAGGCGACGAUCUGUAGCGGGUCUGAGAGGAUGAUCCGCCACACUGGGACUGAGACACGGCCCAGACUCCUACGGGAGGCAGCAGUGGGGAAUAUUGGACAAUGGGGGGAACCCUGAUCCAGCCAUGCCGCGUGUGUGAAGAAGGCCUUAUGGUUGUAAAGCACUUUAAGCGAGGAGGAGGCUCCUGUAGUUAAUACCUACAGUGAGUGGACGUUACUCGCAGAAUAAGCACCGGCUAACUCUGUGCCAGCAGCCGCGGUAAUACAGAGGGUGCGAGCGUUAAUCGGAUUUACUGGGCGUAAAGCGUGCGUAGGCGGCUUUUUAAGUCGGAUGUGAAAUCCCCGAGCUUAACUUGGGAAUUGCAUUCGAUACUGGGAAGCUAGAGUAUGGGAGAGGAUGGUAGAAUUCCAGGUGUAGCGGUGAAAUGCGUAGAGAUCUGGAGGAAUACCGAUGGCGAAGCAGCCAUCUGGGCCUAAUACUGACGCUGAGUACGAAAGCAUGGGGGCAAACAGGAUUAGAUACCCUGGUAGU